rnacentral:lncRNA from 1 species
CACUGUGAAAUCCUAGUUGCUUGAUUUUUAGAAGAAAACAGCCAGACUGAAUACCACCCAGUGACACCAGUGCAGGUAAUAAGCACCACCCAUGUUGCACGUCAGGCACACUUAAUCCUCUACCCUACCAGGAAGAUCGAAGAGUAAUUUGUUCUGGAAAAUAACUAUUAUCUUGUCUGUUAGUUCAUGUAUCAUAAAUCCUAUAACUGUAUGUGGCUUUGCUGCUUAUUCUUACACUUUCAUCAGGUCCCAAAGACAUAUUUCCUCAGCACUGACAGUGUUACAGGUACAGUGUAUUGUACCUGUAACAAUCUUCAC